CGCGUACGAUGUCGACUUGGUUAUUGGAGAGUUUGAUCCUGGCUCAGGAUGAACGCUGGCGGCGUGCCUAAUACAUGCAAGUCGAGCGAAUGGAUUAAGAGCUUGCUCUUAUGAAGUUAGCGGCGGACGGGUGAGUAACACGUGGGUAACCUGCCCAUAAGACUGGGAUAACUCCGGGAAACCGGGGCUAAUACCGGAUAACAUUUUGAACCGCAUGGUUCGAAAUUGAAAGGCGGCUUCGGCUGUCACUUAUGGAUGGACCCGCGUCGCAUUAGCUAGUUGGUGAGGUAACGGCUCACCAAGGCAACGAUGCGUAGCCGACCUCGAGAGGGUGAUCGGCCACACUGGGACUGAGACACGGCCCAGACUCCUACGGGAGGCAGCAGUAGGGAAUCUUCCGCAAUGGACGAAAGUCUGACGGAGCAACGCCGCGUGAGUGAUGAAGGCUUUCGGGUCGUAAAACUCUGUUGUUAGGGAAGAACAAGUUGCUAGUUGAAUAAGCUGGCACCUUGACGGUACCUAACCAGAAAGCCACGGCUAACUACGUGCCAGCAGCCGCGGUAAUACGUAGGUGGCAAGCGUUAUCCGGAAUUAUUGGGCGUAAAGCGCGCGCAGGUGGUUUCUUAAGUCUGAUGUGAAAGCCCAGCGGCUCAACCGUGGAGGGUCAUUGGAAACUGGGAGACUUGAGUGCAGAAGAGGAAAGUGGAAUUCCAUGUGUAGCGGUGAAAUGCGUAGAGAUAUGGAGGAACACCAGUGGCGAAGGCGACUUUCUGGUCUGUAACUGACACUGAGGCGCGAAAGCGUGGGGAGCAAACCAGGAUUAGAUACCCUGGUAGUCCACGCCGUAAACGAUGAGUGCUAAGUGUUAGAGGGUUUCCGCCCUUUA
rnacentral:rRNA from 1 species